rnacentral:rRNA from 1 species
AGUGAACGCUGGCGGUAGGCCUAACACAUGCAAGUCGAACGGCAGCACAGUAAGAGCUUGCUCUUACGGGUGGCGAGUGGCGGACGGGUGAGGAAUACAUCGGAAUCUACUUUUUCGUGGGGGAUAACGUAGGGAAACUUACGCUAAUACCGCAUACGACCUACGGGUGAAAGCAGGGGAUCUUCGGACCUUGCGCGAUUGAAUGAGCCGAUGUCGGAUUAGCUAGUUGGCGGGGUAAAGGCCCACCAAGGCGACGAUCCGUAGCUGGUCUGAGAGGAUGAUCAGCCACACUGGAACUGAGACACGCUCCAGACUCCUACGGGAGGCAGCAGUGGGGAAUAUUAGACAAUGGGCGCAAGCCUGAUCCAGCCAUACCGCGUGGGUGAAGAAGGCCUUCGGCUUGUAAAGCCCUUUUGUUGGGAAAGAAAAGCAGCAGGUUAAUACCCCGCUGUUCUGACGGUACCCAAAGAAUAAGCUCCGGCUAACUUCGUG